GCCUACGGGGCGCAGCAGUGAGGCAUAUUGGUCAAUGGGCGGGAGCCUGAACCAGCCAAGUCGCGUGAGGGAAGACGGUCCUAUGGAUUGUAAACCUCUUUAGGCGGGGAGCAAUGCCGGGCACGCGUGCCCGGAGGGAGAGUACCCGCAGAAUAAGCAUCGGCUAACUCCGUGCCAGCAGCCGCGGUAAUACGGAGGAUGCGAGCGUUAUCCGGAUUUAUUGGGUUUAAAGGGUGCGUAGGCGGAUUUUUAAGUCAGCGGUAAAAUGUCCGGGCUCAACGCGGGCCGGCCGUGGAGAAUGGGGG
rnacentral:rRNA from 1 species